ACCAAGCGCAGUGGCAGGUGCCAAUAGUACCAGCUACUCAGGAGGCUGAGGUGGGAGGAUGUCUUGAGCCCAGGAGUUCUGGACUGUAUGUAGUGCAAUAUGCUGAUUGGGUAUCCACCCUAAGUUCGGCAUCAAUAUGGUGACUUCCUGGGAGCGAGGGGACCACCAGGUUGCCUAAGGAGGAGUAACCGAGGGGUAACCAGCCCAGGUUGGAAACAGAGCAGGUCAAAACUCCAGUGCUGAUCAGUAAUGGGAUGACACCUGUGAAUAGCCACUGCACUCCAACCUGGGCAACAUAGCGAGACCCCGUCUCU
rnacentral:SRP_RNA from 1 species